rnacentral:rRNA from 1 species
GGGAUUGCCUCAGUAACGGCGAGUGAAGCGGCAACAGCUCAAAUUUGAAAUCUGGCUCCUUCGGGGUCCGAAUUGUAAUUUGUAGAGAGUGCUUCGGGCGAGACCUCGGUCUAAGUCCAUUGGAACAUGGUGUCAUAGAGGGUGAGAAUCCCGUAUGCGACCGUGGCUCGAGCCCAUGUGAAGCCUCUUCGACGAGUCGAGUUGUUUGGGAAUGCAGCUCAAAAUGGGUGGUAAAUUUCAUCUAAAGCUAAAUACUGGCUGGAGACCGAUAGCGCACAAGUAGAGUGAUCGAAAGACGAAAAGCACUUUGGAAAGAGAGUUAAACAGUACGUGAAAUUGUUGAAAGGGAAGCGCUUGCAACCAGACCUGCCCGUAGGCGAUCCGCCGCUGUUCUCAGCGGUGUACUCGCUCUGCGAUCAGGCCAGCAUCGGUUUCGGCGGUCGGAUAAAGGCCUUGGGAAUGUAGCUUCCCUUCGGGGGAGUCUUAUAGCCCUCGGUGCAAUGCGGCCAGCCGGGACCGAGGACCGCGCUUCGGCUAGGAUGCUGGCGUAAUGGUUGUAAGCGACCCGUCUUGAAACACGGACCAAGGAGUCUAACAUCUAUGCGAGUGUUUGGGUGUCAAACCCAUACGCGGAAUGAAAGUGAACGGAGGUGAGAACCCUCAAGGGCGCAUCAUCGACCGAUCCAGAUGUCUUCGGAUGGAUUUGAGUAGGAGCAUAGCUGUUGGGACCCGAAAGAUGGUGAACUAUGCCUGAAUAGGGUGAAGCCAGAGGAAACUCUGGUGGAGGCUCGCAGCGGUUCUGACGUGCAAAUCGAUCGUCAAAUUUGGGUAUAGGGGCGAAAGACUAAUCG